rnacentral:rRNA from 1 species
AGAGACAGCAGUCGCCGCGGUAAGACAGAGGAUGCAAGCGUUAUCCGGAAUGAUUGGGCGUAAAGCGUGCGCAGGCGGUUUAGUAAGUCUGAAGUUAAAGGCAUUGGCUCAACCAAUGUAUGCUUUGGAAACUGUUAGACUUGAGUGCAGAAGGGGAGAGUGGAAUUCCAUGUGUAGCGGUGAAAUGCGUAGAUAUAUGGAGGAACACCGGUGGCGAAAGCGGCUCUCUGGUCUGUCACUGACGCUGAGGCUCGAAAGCGUGGGUAGCGAACAGGAUUAGAUACCCCCGUAGUCCCUGUCUCUUAUACA